AAUGAUGAAAGAAAAUUGCUGACCCAUGAAUUCUGCUUCUAUGUUUUAGGAAGAGAUACUGAACCUCAAAUUUGCUGUUUUUGCACCAAGUGCAAGCCUUAUUACCUGCAGAAAGUAGUGCCAAUAUUGUGGAGAAACAGACACAGGAUUUUAUUAUGUGAAUGACUGACCUGCAAUAAAAGAUUCAGGCACAGCCUCAUCAGGCAUCGACAGUUACAGUGAGGACAUUGACUGGACAAGAAUAAGGUCCUACAAUUUGUACUGGGGACAUGUGAGAAAACCCCAAUAAACCUGGGAACACUGAAUAUGCAAACUCUGAUAAACUAAUUUAUUUAUUUAUUGCCAGAAAAAAACAGCUUUCUACUCUUCAAAAGAGGCAACAUCCCCUAUCUGACCCAUGCUGCCAUCAGCCUUUCCAACUCUGAAGGGAUAAAUGCUUCACUGACUGAGGCAACAGUGAUGGACUCCCCUGAAGCAAUUUCUGGCAUUGAAUAGUAAUAUAAUAAUUGUGGAGAAAAAGCAAGGUUUAUAUUGGUAGGAGUUGUGCCUUGUGGAGAAGUCUCCGGCAUCAAGAAUAGAGCCUACAGGUGCCUGUCUGUCUUCUGCUACACUUCAUCCUGCCAAUACUGUUUACAGAGAGAAACCUCCAGGCCAAUGCCAAGCUGCCUUUAGUCCUACCCAACUCCCCGAGCCUCCUGUCCUCACUGGUGCCAAAGAACUAGAGAAAACUGAGGUUGCGGAGGGCUGCUCUUCCAAAAUAACCACAACUGUCAGCACGCCAGGAAUCAACAUUAUCUUCUUCUUCUGUGGAAGUAUCUUUAUUUGUUUCAAAGGCAAUUUUAUUCAUUUCUAUCUAAUGCUAUAUAAGGUAAGUGGGAGAAACUCAUUAACUCGAAGCAUAUCAUUUUCAUCUACUGCAAAUAAGCUGAUCAUACAGUGCUCUUUGCACACAGCUUUGAAGUUUGGCUCUGACUUUAGGAUGUUUAGCAGUGUUUUCCCACAGUCACCCAGAGAGAACUUACAGAAGGGGUCAUAG
rnacentral:lncRNA from 1 species